UUACGGGUGGCGAGUGGCGGACGGGUGAGUAAUACAUCGGAACUUGCCUUUGAGCGGGGGAUAACCCGGGGAAACUCGGGCUAAUACCACAUAACGUCGAGAGACCAAAGCGGGGGAUCGCAAGACCUCGCACUCAAAGAGAGGCUGAUGUCGGAUUAGCUAGUUGGUAGGGUAAAGGCCUACCAAGGCAACGAUCCGUAGCUGGUCUGAGAGGACGAUCAGCCACACUGGGACUGAGACACGGCCCAGACUCCUACGGGAGGCAGCAGUGGGGAAUAUUGGACAAUGGGGGCAACCCUGAUCCAGCAAUGCCGCGUGUGUGAAGAAGGCCUGAGGGCUGUAAAGCACUUUAGGUGGGGAGGAAGUAGUGAGACUGAAUAAGUUUUACUGUUGACGUUACCCACAGAAUAAGCACCGGCUAACUCUGUGCCAGCAGCCGCGGUAAUACAGAGGGUGCAAGCGUUAAUCGGAAUUAUUGGGCGUAAAGCGCAUGUAGGUGGUCCACCAAGUUUGAUGUGAAAGCCCCGGGCUUAACCUGGGAAUUGCGUUGAAGACUGGUGGACUAGAGUCGAAGAGAGGGUCGUGGAAUUUCCGGUGUAGCGGUGAAAUGCGUAGAGAUCGGAAAGGACACCAGUGGCGAAGGCGGCGACCUGGCUUCAGACUGACACUGAGGUGCGAAAGCAUGGGGAGCAAACAGGAUUAGAUACCCUGGUAGUCCAUGCUGUAAACGAUGAGAACUGGAUGUGCGAAGAGGUUUACCUUUUUGUGUAUCGAAGCUAACGCGUUAAGUUCUCCGCCUGGGGAGUACGGCCGCAAGGCUAAAACUCAAAGGAAUUGACGGGGGCCCGCACAAGCGGUGGAGCAUGUGGUUUAAUUCGAUGCAACGCGAAGAACCUUACCUACCCUUGACAUCCUUCGAAUCCCGCUGAAAGGCGGGAGUGCCGAAAGGAACGGAGAGACAGGUGCUGCAUG
rnacentral:rRNA from 1 species